AAUGAACGUUGGCGGCGUGGAUUAGGCAUGCAAGUCGUACGAGAAUCGUAGCAAUACGAGGAAAGUGGCGGAAGGGAGAGGAUUACGUGAGAAUCUACCCUCAGAACUGGGAUAGCGGCGGGAAACUGCCGGUAAUACCAGAUAAUGUCUGUGGACCAAAGGUGUGAUUCCGUCUGGGGAUGAGCCCACGUCCUAUUAGCUAGUUGGCAGGGUAAUGGCCUACCAAGGCAAUGAUGGGUAGCGGGUGUGAGAGCAUGACCCGCCUCACUGGGACUGAGAACUGCCCAGACACCUACGGGUGGCUGCAGUCGAGAAUCUUCGGCAAUGAGCGCAAGCUUGACCGAGCGACGCCGCGUGCGGGAUGAAGGCCUUCGGGUUGUAAACCGCUGUCGUAGGGGAGCAAGAGAUGAGGGUACUCCCUCUGAUUUGAGCGAUCCUAGGGGGAAGGACGGGCUAAGUUCGUGCCAGCAGCCGCGUAACAC
rnacentral:rRNA from 1 species